rnacentral:rRNA from 1 species
UGGGGAAUCUUCCGCAAUGGGCGAAAGCCUGACGGAGCAAUGCCGCGUGAGUGAAGAAGGCCUUCGGGUUGUAAAACUCUGUCCUAGACGAAGAGAGAGUAUUGUAGUAACUGACAAUACUAGGACGGUAGACUAGGAGGAAGCCCCGGCUAACUAUGUGCCAGCAGCCGCGGUAAAACAUAGGGGGCAAGCGUUGUCCGGAAUCACUGGGCGUAAAGGGCGCGCAGGCGGUAAAUUAAGUCAGGUGUGAAAGUUCGGGGCUCAACCCCGUGAUUGCACCUGAUACUGAUAAACUAGAGUGUUGGAGAGGUAAGUGGAAUUCCUAGUGUAGCGGUGGAAUGCGUAGAUAUUAGGAGGAACACCAGUGGCGAAGGCGACUUACUGGCCAAUAACUGACGCUGAGGCGCGAAAGCGUGGGGAGCAAACAGGAUUAGAUACCCUGGUAGUCCACGCCGUAAACGAUGAGUACUAGGUGUUGGUUGUUUCGAAACAAUCGGUGCCGCAGUAAACACAAUAAGUACUCCGCCUGGGGAGUACGGUCGCAAGACUG